UUAGCUCAGUUGGGAGAGCGCUUCUCUUACAAAGAAGAGGUCACUGGUUCGAGACCAGUA
rnacentral:tRNA from 1 species